rnacentral:rRNA from 1 species
UGAGGAAAAUUGCACAAUGGGCGAAAGCCUGAUGCAGCAACGCUGCGUGCGGGACGAAGGCCUUCGGGUCGUAAACCUCUUUUCUGAGGGACGAGACAAGGACGGUACCUCAGGAAUAAGUCUCGGCUAACUACGUGCCAGCGGCCGCGGUAAA